rnacentral:rRNA from 1 species
AUUGAACGCUGGCGGCAUGCUUUACACAUGCAAGUCGAACGGUAACAGGCCUUCGGGUGCUGACGAGUGGCGAACGGGUGAGUAAUGCAUCGGAACAUACCCAGUCGUGGGGGAUAACGUAGCGAAAGUUACGCUAAUACCGCAUACGUCCUGAGGGAGAAAGCGGGGGAUCGCAAGACCUCGCGCGAUUGGAGUGGCCGAUGUCAGAUUAGCUAGUUGGUGGGGUAAAGGCCCACCAAGGCGACGAUCUGUAGCGGGUCUGAGAGGAUGAUCCGCCACACUGGGACUGAGACACGGCCCAGACUCCUACGGGAGGCAGCAGUGGGGAAUUUUGGACAAUGGGGGAAACCCUGAUCCAGCCAUGCCGCGUGCGGGAAGAAGGCCUCGGUUGUAACGACUUCAGCCGGAACGAAAUACGCACGGACCGAAUACUCUGUGUGGA